rnacentral:tRNA from 1 species
AUACUUAGGUCCACUGAAACUAGUUACCUAACACAUAGUCUCUCCUGGAAAGUGUGCUAUCUGCACUUGAGAAACAUGUGUAUUUUAUUGUUGGGUAAAGUGUUCUAUAAACACGUGUUAGAUCUAGUCAAUUUAUUAUGUUGCUCAAGUCUUCUAUUUCCUUAUCUUCUUUGUGGUUGUUUUUUCCAUUAUCCUGACUCGAGUAUUAAAGUCUGCACCUAUUAUUGUAGAACUAUUUCUCCCUCAGUUCUGUUAAUUUUUGCUUCAUAUAUUUUGAUAAUCAUUAUGUGCAUAAUUUUUAUAAUUGUUGUCUUCUUGCCAUAUUUGACAUUUUAUUAAUGUAUAAUGUCCAUGACUGUUGUAACCUAAACUUAAAAAAAUUUUUUUAAGUCUAUUUGGAGUUCCCAUGUGGUGUAUUGGGUUAAGGAUCCAGUGUUAUCACUGUUGCAGCUCAGGUCACUGCUAUAGAACUUCCACAUGCCAUGGAUGUGGCCAAAAAAAAGUCUAUUUUCUUUGAUAUUAAGUAGUUACUUCUGUUCUCUUUUGGUUAUUGUUUGCAUGAAAUAUCUCUUUCCAUUCUUCCACUUUCAAUCUACUUGGCUCUUUGGAUCUAAAGUGAGUCUUUCAUAGACAGUGUCUAGUUGGAUCACAUUUUUUCUUUAAUUCAUUUUGUCACUCUGUCUUUUUUCCCUGUUGUUACACUCGUGGUAUGCAGAAGUUCCCAGGCUAGGGAUCAAACCUAUGCCACAGCUGUAACCAGAGCCAUAGCAGUGACAACACCGGAUCCUUAACCCACUGAACCAUGAGGGAAUAUGUCUAUUGACUGGAGAGUUUAAACCAUUAGUUGUUAUUGAUAAGGAGGGACUCCUGUCAUUUUGCUAUUUGUUUUCUAUAUGCCUUAUAGCUUUUUCACCCUUCAUUUCUUGCAUUACUGUAUUCUUUUGGGUUCUAUUUUUUUUUAAUCAUUUCCCUUCCUUUCUCAUUUGUUAACCAUUUCAGUUCCUUUCUCAUUUCCUUUUUUUUUUUUUGUAUAUCUGCUAGCUACUCUCUUCAAACUACCUUUUUUUCAGUUCUUUAUUUCAAUAAUUAUACUUUUCAUACCCAGUACUUUCCCUUUAUAACUUUUUAUUCUUCCUUCAUGUUUUCAAUAUUAUCCCUUAUCACUUUGAGGCUCUUUAUUAUGUUUAUUUAAAAUUUUUGUUCUUGACAUUUCUUUGCAUCUUCUUUUUUUAUUUUUUAGGGCCACAUCAAUAGCAUAUGGAAAUUUCCAGGUUAGGGGCUGAAUUGGAACUGCAGCUGCUGGCCUGUGCCACAGCCACAGCAACUCAGAAUCAAAACUGCAUCUGUGACUUACACCAUAGCUCAUGGCAACGCUGGAUCCUUAAUCCACUGAGCAAGGCCAGGGAUCGAACUUACAUCCUCAUAGAUACUAGUUUGGUUCACAACAUGCUGAGCCACAAUGGGAACUCCUCUUUAUAUCUUAUUCUAUUGUUUAGUCAACGUAUUUAAUUUCUUCAAUAUUGUUUAUCUCCUUAAAUGUCUAAUCUUUACUCAAGUUUGUAUUCCUCUGGAAAUAUCAGCUUUAUUGGCUAAGUAAUUUUACCACGGAGAAAGGCAAAAGGCCAGGUAUUGGUCAUCUUUUUCUACCUCAGAGAGAACUCCUUGAAAAUGAAAUCAGUAUGGAAGAAAAAGCAAAGCUUAACAAUGAAAAGAAACAGAGCUGUGAUGACAUCAUUUGCAUGGUUUCCAGUUCUACCUGACUUCAAUUUCAUAGUUAAGUAAUCUGUUUGCUUAAGCUAGUUUGACUCAACUUCUGUCACUGAUUUAAUAGCCUUCACUAAUUCAGCUGCCUUCAUCAUAUACUAAAUUCCUUUAUGUAUCUGGUCCAGUGAGCUAUCUAUACCUAUAUAAAUGUUAUAUUUCAAAUUUCAUUGCUUUAUAUACGAGUUCUAGUCUUUUUUUAACCUUCAGUUUUCUAUGGACUUAUUUUCAUUAGUGGAAUAAGUAUAUGUAUUUUAGUCAGGGUUCUUCAGAGAACCAAGAGGAGGAGAUUAUACAUAUAUAGAAGCAAUGCCGAGUAGUUAUGCUGCAAGCCACACGUGAGGUCCAAGAUUAUACAUACAUAAAUUUGAGGGUAUAAUUUUGAUUAAAGAAGCAAAAUAUAAGAGUUCCCAUUGUGGCUCAGUAUUAAUAAACAUGACUAGUAGUAUCCAUGAGGAUGUGGGUUUGAUCCCUGGCCCCGCUCAGUGGUAUAAAGAUCCAGCAUUGACAUGAGCUGUGGUGUAGGUUGCAGACAUGGCUCAGAUCUGGUGUUGCUGGGACUGUGGUGUAGGCUGGCAGCUGCAGCUCUGAUUCAACCCCUAGCCUGGGAACUUCGCCAUGUGCUGUGGGUACAACCCCCCAGCCAAAAAAAAAGAAAAAAAAAAAGACAAAGACAAAAUAAAAGGCAAAAUAUAGCUUCUACAUAUUUGGAUGAAAACCAACUAAUAUUAAAACUAUGUUGGAGUUCCCGUCGUGGCUCAGUGGUUAACAAAUCCGACUAGGAACCAUGAGGUUGUGGGUUCCAUCCCUGGCUUUGCUCAGUGGUUAAGAAUCCGGUGUUGCCAUGAGCUGUGGUGUAGGUUGCAGAUGUGGCUUGGAUCCUGCAUUGCUAUGGCUCUGAUGUAGGCCGGUGGCGGCUGCAGCUCCAAUUUGACCCCUAGCCUGGGAACCUUCAUGUGCCAAGGAAGCAGCCCAAGAAAUGGCACAAAAGACAACAACCCCCCCCCAAAAAAAAACUAUGUAUAAGGAAGAACCAAGCAGACACUAAUAUAAAGUACUAAAACAAGAUGGGUGUAAAAGCAUAAGUCUACUUGGGGAAAGAAAGUGGGUAGUCAAAGAGUUGAUACAGGCUUCUUCAAGGGACAUACUGGUAGAAACUCAGAGUCAAAUAAGAGAAUGAGAGGUUCCCUGGUGGCCUAGUAAUUAAGGACUCAGCAUUGUCACUGCUGUGGCUCGGGUUUGAUCCCUGAUCUGGGAACUUCCACAUGCCAUGUGCUC